GACGAACGCUGGCGGCGUGCCUAAUACAUGCAAGUAGGACGCAGUUUCGAACGGGUGAUUAACGCGUAGGUAACUACCUAUUAGAGGGGGACAACUAUUGGAAACGAUAGCUAAUACCGCAUACUAGUAGAUGGACCUGCGUUGUAUUAGCUAGUAGGUAGGGUAAUGGCCUACCUAGGCAACGAUACAUAGCCGACCUGAUAGGGUGUUCUGUCACACUGAGAAUGAGUAACAGCCAAAGAUCCUUCGGGACGCAGCCAGAGGGAAGCUUCGGGAAUGGGGGAUAGUCUGAACGCGCAACGCCGCGGGAGUGAAGAAGUUUUUCGGUUCGUAAAGCUCUGUUGUUAAGGAAGCGGUACUUAACCAGAAUGGCACGGCUAACUAUGUGCCAGCAGCCGCGGUAAUUC
rnacentral:rRNA from 1 species